CAGGCUCGCCUUCCUGUGCUGCUCAGGGAGGUCAGACCCCGGUGUGGAGGUGGGAAGAAAUGGAGCAUCCCCACCCCACCAACCCUAUCCUGCAGGCCCAGACCCAGAGAGCUCAGCCCGGGCGAGGAAGAAAGGAAAGGAUUAAGGUCAUAAGUGCCAGCAGCUUCACAGAUACUGCUAUUUAGCCGUGGGAUGCCCUUAUACCAUGGCAUGACUCUUGCCGGAUGCUGAUGCCAUUCUCUUGGACUUCUCAGCCUCCAGAACCCUGAAGAAGGGACACAGGGUGUGCUGCACAGAAGUCUCUCAUUUCCAACUCUGACCACCAGCACCUGAAAACAUGGUGGCCUCCACCUAGAGCGUGUGCCACUGUACCACUUCCUACCCAGCAAGGGGUCUGAAGGACGUAAUCUGAGCUUGGCAACUACAUCCAAUAUAAAGAGGAUGCAACGAAGGUUAAGAGAACAAAUCCAGCUAUCUUCUGUGAUGAUUGUGCAUGCCUCGGGCCAAAUCACAUCGGUAGGCAGAUUGCUGAGUUGGGGAAAUACAUACAGAAAGUGCAUAAAUGGUAAGAUCAUGGUCCAACGAACCAUCACAAAGUGAGCACAGCCCUGCACCUAAAUGACUGAACGUUACCAAAGCCCCAGAGACCCGUCAUGCUCCUCUCUGGAAGGUGACCACUAUCCUGACUUCUAAUAACAAAGAUGAGUUUGGACUACUUCAAACCUUGCGUCACUGGAAUCAUAUGAUGCAGUUUUGCUCUUGUUGCCCACAAUGAAGUGCAAUGGCCCGAUCUAGGCUCACCGCAACCUCUGCCUCCCGGGUUCAAGCGAUUCUCCUGCCUCAGCCUCCUGAGUAGCUGGGAUUACA